CAUGCAAGUCGAGGGGCAGCAUGAUUGAAGCUUGCUUCAAUUGAUGGCGACCGGCGCACGGGUGAGUAACGCGUAUCCAACCUUCCGUACACUCAGGGAUAGCCUUUCGAAAGAAAGAUUAAUACCCGAUGGUAUGAUGAGAUUGCAUGAUAGCAUCAUUAAAGAUUUAUCGGUGUACGAUGGGGAUGCGUUCCAUUAGGUAGUAGGCGGGGUAACGGCCCACCUAGCCGACGAUGGAUAGGGGUUCUGAGAGGAAGGUCCCCCACAUUGGAACUGAGACACGGUCCAAACUCCUACGGGAGGCAGCAGUGAGGAAUAUUGGUCAAUGGACGAGAGUCUGAACCAGCCAAGUAGCGUGAAGGAUGAAGGUCCUACGGAUUGUAAACUUCUUUUAUAAGGGAAUAAAACCUCCCACGUGUGGGAGCUUGUAUGUACCUUAUGAAUAAGCAUCGGCUAACUCCGUGCCAGCAGCCGCGGUAAUACGGAGGAUGCGAGCGUUAUCCGGAUUUAUUGGGUUUAAAGGGAGCGCAGACGGGUCGUUAAGUCAGCUGUGAAAGUUUGGGGCUCAACCUUAAAAUUGCAGUUGAUACUGGCGUCCUUGAGUGCGGUUGAGGUGUGCGGAAUUCGUGGUGUAGCGGUGAAAUGCUUAGAUAUCACGAAGAACUCCGAUUGCGAAGGCAGCACACUAAGCCGUAACUGACGUUCAUGCUCGAAAGUGUGGGUAUCAAACAGGAUUAGAUACCCUGGUAGUCCACACGGUAAACGAUGGAUACUCGCUGUUGGCGAUAUACAGUCAGCGGCUUAGCGAAAGCGUUAAGUAUCCCACCUGGGGAGUACGCCGGCAACGGUGAAACUCAAAGGAAUUGACGGGGGCCCGCACAAGCGGAGGAACAUGUGGUUUAAUUCGAUGAUACGCGAGGAACCUUACCCGGGCUUAA
rnacentral:rRNA from 1 species